AGAGUUUGAUCCUGGCUCAGAACGAACGCUGGCGGCGUGGAUAAGACAUGCAAGUCGAACGCUUAUUUCCUGGUAGCAAUAUUGGGGAGUAGGAGUGGCGCAAGGGUGCGUAACACGUGGAUCAUCUGCCUGGAAGUUCGGAAUAAUUCGGCGAAAGCCGGACUAAUGCCGGAUGUGGUUGGAAGACUAAAGCUGGGGACCGCAAGGCCUGGCGCUUCCAGAUGAGUCCGCGGCCUAUCAGCUAGUUGGCGGGGUAAUGGCCCACCAAGGCAAAGACGGGUAGCUGGUCUGAGAGGACGACCAGCCUCACUGGAACUGAGACACGGUCCAGACACCUACGGGUGGCAGCAGUCGAGAAUUUUUCUCAAUGGGCGAAAGCCUGAAGGAGCGACGCCGCGUGGGGGAUGAAGGGCUUCGGCCCGUAAACCCCUGUCAUUUGCGAACAAGUGCCAUGGUUGAACAUUCCAUGGCUUGAUUGUAGCGAAAGAGGAAGGGACGGCUAACUCUGUGCCAGCAGCCGCGGUAAUACAGAGGUCCCGAGCGUUGUUCGGAUUCACUGGGCGUAAAGGGUGCGCAGGUGGGUUGGCAAGUUUGAUGUGAAAGCCCCGGGCUUAACCCGGGAAUGGCAUUGAAUACUGCUGAUCUGGAGGAUUGGAGGGGGGACUGGAAUUCUUGGUGUAGCAGUGAAAUGCGUAGAUAUCAAGAGGAACACCAGUG
rnacentral:rRNA from 1 species